rnacentral:rRNA from 1 species
ACGCUCGACACCUACGGAGGCAGCAGUGAGGAAUAUUGGUCAAUGGACGCAAGUCUGAACCAGCCAUGCCGCGUGCAGGAUGACGGCUCUAUGAGUUGUAAACUGCUUUUGUACGAGGGUAAACGCAGAUACGUGUAUCUGUCUGAAAGUAUCGUACGAAUAAGGAUCGGCUAACUCCGUGCCAGUAGCCGCGGUAAUCUGAGCGGGCUGGCAAGGC